rnacentral:rRNA from 1 species
GCAAGUCGAACGCGUCUUGGUUAUUGAUGUUAAGUGCUUGCAUUUAAUUGAUUUAACAUUGAGACGAGUGGCGAACUGGUGAGUAACACGUGGGUAACCUGCCCUUGAAGUAGGGGAUAACACUUGGAAACAGGUGCUAAUACCGUAUAACAACCAAAACCACCUGGUUUUGGUUUAAAAGAUGGCUUCGGCUAUCACUUUAGGAUAGACCCGCGGCGUAUUAGCUUGUUGGUAAGGUAACGGCCUACCAAGGCAAUGAUACGUAGCCGACCUGAGAGGGUAAUCGGCCACAUUGGGACUGAGACACGGCCCAAACUCCUACGGGAGGCAGCAGUAGGGAAUCUUCCACAAUGGACGAAAGUCUGAUGGAGCAACGCCGCGUGAGUGAUGAAGGGUUUCGGCUCGUAAAACUCUGUUGUUGGAGAAGAACAGGUGUGAGAGUAACUGUUCACAUCUUGACGGUAUCCAACCAGAAAGCCACGGCUAACUACGUGCCAGCAGCCGCGGUAAUACGUAGGUGGCAAGCGUUGUCCGGAUUUAUUGGGCGUAAAGCGAGCGCAGGCGGUUUCUUAGGUCUGAUGUGAAAGCCUUCGGCUUAACCGGAGAAGUGCAUCGGAAACCAGGAGACUUGAGUGCAGAAGAGGACAGUGGAACUCCAUGUGUAGCGGUGAAAUGCGUAGAUAUAUGGAAGAACACCAGUGGCGAAGGCGGCUGUCUGGUCUGUAACUGACGCUGAGGCUCGAAAGCAUGGGUAGCGAACAGGAUUAGAUACCCUGGUAGUCCAUGCCGUAAACGAUGAGUGCUAAGUGUUGGAGGGUUUCCGCCCUUCAGUACUGCAGCUAACGCAUUAAGCACUCCGCCUGGGGAGUACGACCGCAAGGUUGAAAC